UACGGAGGGGGUUAGCGUUGUUCGGAAUUACUGGGCGUAAAGCGCGCGUAGGCGGGCUGUUAAGUCAGAGGUGAAAUCCCACGGCUCAACCGUGGAACUGCCUUUGAUACUGGCAGCCUUGAGUUCGAGAGAGGUGAGUGGAAUUCCGAGUGUAGAGGUGAAAUUCGUAGAUAUUCGGAGGAACACCAGUGGCGAAGGCGGCUCACUGGCUCGAUACUGACGCUGAGGUGCGAAAGCGUGGUGAGCAAACAGG
rnacentral:rRNA from 1 species